rnacentral:rRNA from 1 species
CCUACGGGAGGCAGCAGUGAGGAAUAUUGGUCAAUGGACGCAAGUCUGAACCAGCCAUGCAGCGUGCAGGAAGACGGCUCUAUGAGUUGUAAACUGCUUUUGUACGAGGGUAAACGCAGAUACGCGUAUCUGUCUGAAAGUAACGUACGAAUAAGGAUCGGCUAACUCCGUGCCAGCAGCCGCGGUAAUACGGAGGAUUCAAGCGUUAUCCGGAUUUAUUGGGUUUAAAGGGUGCGUAGGCGGUCGGAUAAGUUAGAAGUGAAAUCCCGAGGCUCAACUUCGGAAUUGCCGCUGAUACUGUUCGGCUAGAGAGUAGUUGCGGUAGGCGGAAUGUAUGGUGUAGCGGUGAAAUGCUUAGAGAUCAUACAGAACACCGAUUGCGAAGGCAGCUUACCAAGCUACUUCUGACGUUGAGGCACGAAAGCGUGGGUAGCAAACAGGAUUAGAUACCCUGGUAGUC